rnacentral:tRNA from 1 species
GCCUAGCUGGCUCAGUCAGUAAAGCAUGGGACUCUUGAUCUCAGGGUCGUGAGUUCAAGCCCUAUGUUGGGCA